GUUCUGCUAAGUCAAGGACAGCGGCCAACGCUGAAACCUGGUAUCUAAAGAUACUGGGACUAAGGAGAAGGCCUCUGCCGGCCUGAAGGAAGUCGAGGACAUCAGGAACCCCUGCAGUGAGUGAAUUUAAAUGCUUCCUGUGGGCCAAUCUACAGAAUGCUGCCCAUGUAGCCUGGAAGAUCUGCUGGGUGGACGGACUGUGAGAGACUAGGAUGGUAUCUUGGACCGGGGUCGAACACCCCUUGGCCGCUAGUCCAUUGCACUCAACAUCAAGGCACAGAGUUGGAGCCAUCCUGGCUCUGGAUGUAGAAUGGGCCCCUGAGAUAGAAGGUCCCUGUGUACUGGGAGACGCCAUGGGAGCUGUGUGAACAGGAUGAUUAGGUCAGAAAGCAAUGGCCUCCUGGUCCAUUGAGGGGCCACCAGGAUCAGGUGAGCCUGCUCUUUCUGGUGACCUGGUUGAUGAUGUCCGUUGGUGGAAAGGCGAAAGGGAGAUAUAGGAUGAUAGGAAGCGAUCAUAUACUGAGUCAGACCAUUGGUCUAUCUAGCUCAGUCUUGUCUUCACAGACUGGCAGUGGCUUCUCCAAGGUUGCAGGCAGGAAUCUCUCUCACCCCUAUCUUGGAGAUGCUAGGGAGGGAACUUGGAAUCUGGAUGCUCUUCCCAGAGCGGCUCCAUCCCCUGACCUUUGGGCCAAUUGGUGCUGAGGGCAUCGGUGGCUUCUGCCACUGGAGAGUGGUAUUUUGAGAAGAAGUGCAGGAGCUGGUGAUUCAGAGGAGAGGCGAAAAGAUCCACUAGAGGCUCACCCAGGUGUGCUGUGAUCAGCUGGAAGACCUCUGGAUGGAGGGUCCAUUCUGCCGGGUCCACCAUCCUUCGACUGAGCCAGUUGGUUUGAUUGUUCUCUGUCUCGCUUAGGUGUUCUGAUGUAAUGGACAGCAAGUGAAGUUCUGCCCACUGAAAAAGGUGGUCGAUUUCCUCCAUCAGUGCUUAUAAUCUCAUGCCCCCCUAGCAGCUGAUGUGAGCCUUCAUGGUGGUGAUGUCCAUCCUGAGGAGCACAUGCCGUCCCUGAAGAAGAUGUUGGAAUUCUAACAGGGCAAGUCUUGCUGCUUUGAGUUCCAAGUAGUUUAUGUUCCUGUUUGCGUCUACCUGUGACCAUGAGCCCUGGGCCAGAAUGCCUAGGCAGGGAGUGCCCCAUCCCUUCAAACUGGCAUCUGUGUUCACUGUGACCAUUGUGGAAUGAUUAGUGGUAGGCCUUUGCUCAUAGCCAGAGACAUCCACCAUUCGAAGGACCUGCGUACCUUCUUGGGAAGAGCAAGUUUUGGGCACUAUAGUAAUGUAAUGUAAUGUAAUGUAAUGUAAUGUAAUGUAAUGAAUAAAUAAAAUAAACCUGUUUGUGCGUACCUGCCAUAAUGUUGUCUUGACGUGGCAAGAGGAGCCACUGUAUAGGGCGGGAGUGCCACAUGGACAAGGGUGGGCAUUCCAUGCACACUACCAUGGAUCCCAACACUUGUGAGAGGAGCAUGAGGUCUGCAGUAUGGGAUCAUAGGAGUGGUUGAAGAAGAGACAUGAGUUUGUUCCUCCAUUCCUCGGUUAGGGAGACAGAGUCCUGGGCUGUGUUGAAUACUCCCCACCAGGUGUUGAAGCAUCUGGACAGGUGUCAGGUGGCUUUUUCCUUUGUUCACUAUAAAACCAUGGUCUCUGAGGCACUGAAGUGAGUGGUGAACUGCUCUCUUGGCUUGUUGGAGAGAAGGAGCUCGGAUGAGGUCGAAGUAUGAAUAAAUAUGCGCCCCUUGAAGGUGUAGGUAUACCUUGGCGCUGAUGAUAGGCCGAUGGGGAGGGCCCUGUAUUGAAAAUGUUGCAGAUUGCAGACAAAGCGUAGGUACCUCCUGUACGAGGGGCAGAUGGACACAUGGAGGUACACUUUGGAUAGAUAAACUGAUGCCAGAAAGUCAUGAGGUCGGGUGGCCUCCUUGAUGGAGUGGAGGGAUUCCACCCUGAAUUUUUUCUUCCUGAUAAACUUGUUCAGGCGUUUAGGUCCAGGACCACCCUCCAGGAUCCAUCUUUUUUCAGGACCAGAAAUAACAGUGAGUAGAUGCUGGAACAUUCUUCUGUGGAGUGUAUCUGCUCAAUUGCCUGAAUCUGAAGAAGAUGAUUUAUGGCCUCGUUCAUCAGUUGAUGUUUGGACACUCUGGCGGAUCGAGGAGUGACCAUGAAGGAGUCCAAUGAGGUGGUCAUGAAGUUUAUGGUGUAACCGAGGGUGAUUAUGUCUAUCACCCAUUGGUCUUGGGUUGUAGACAUCCAGGUGGGGAUGAAAAGGUGUAGUCUGCCCCCAACCUGACUGGUGUCAUUGCUUUCUGUUCUGUUGGAAGUUAGAUGAAGGUCCUUGGAAGCUUUGGGACCUGCCGUGGCCUCUGAAGUGCUGCCUCCACUGAGGUUGUCCUGUACCUCUGAAACUGGAUGUGCAGAAUUCCGAGGGAAGGAGCCUUGGUAUUCCCUGAAAGGGCAAAAGGAAGAGGAGAACAUCAAAGACUAUGAAGGGUUGCAAAACGGUUUGCCCUGUGCGUCAAAGAUUGUGAACCUCUUGAGGACAGGGACCCAUCUUCUCGUUAUUCUUUUUCACUAUAAAGUGCUUUGAGAACUUUUUCACUGAAAAGCGGUGUGCAUUAAGAAAAGGAUUUAUAGGACUCGGGAGGCAAUGGCACCAUUCUCAUUAGCUCUGGUUAGGACUCAUCACCACAUUUUAAAGAAGAAAGACAAAUAUGAUAAAACACCUAGGUAUUGCAAUAAGAUUUGAAAUCAGUGUCAAAUGAGGACAAGAUUGAGUCAAUGGAAAAGCUUUAUGUAAGGACCAAUUCUGAUAUAAAGUUGCUCUUCAGUGAAGAUGUGCCUAUGGAGGAAUACAGAGGAAAAAUAUGUUAAAAGAUCAGAACAUAAUCAAUGUAGGCUGGGCAGGAAAGAUCCACAAGCAGGAACUGGCAAGAAUCUCGCUCCUGACUCUCAGAAGUAUGAUGUGUCCUCUAAUCCAAAACUGUUCACAGGUAUUCUUCCACAGACGUUAUUCCUUGGAGAAAAAACCACUCCGUCAUUAAUCUGGAAGACCCUACAGUUGAAAUCUGAGUAGUACUGCAGUUGCCAUCACACCUGAAUGUCCUAAGCACAGUUCUCCCCAAGUUGUUCAGACUUGACUCACAUUCAGCUGGCAUACAUUUUGUUAUGUUUGCACAGGUUUGUAUUAUUUGAAAAACGAGUGUUCUACCCAUCAAGAAGAGAGUAAUGGCUUCAGGCCAUUACUGAGUUCUGCUCUGAGAACUAAUACUCAGCCCCUUAGCAUGGCAUGAAAGGGCUUUGUUAAUUGGUGGCAAUUCAUAUAUCCCUAUCCCACACCCAACAGUUACUAUUAUGAGAAGUGCAAUAUUGUCCAUAAGGACACUCUACACAGCACUAUUCUGAGGCCUAUUUUCCUACAUUCUCUUUUUGAUUGAUGUCCUCCCCACAAUAAUGGAUGCUUACUUUUCUUAUAAACCAGUUUCCCAGGAAGGUGUAAACUAGUUUCUCAAGGAAGAAUAAUGUAAAAGUAAAACAAGAAUAAUCUGCUCGUAUGCAGCUGAAAUCAAGUCUUGAAAUUCCUAUUUGUGCAAGAGCAUUACCCUGCUAACUGAGCAAAGAGGCACCUUUUUAAAGUGGUGAUACUCUUUAUUUAGCAGGAGGAGAGCAACUGGCCCCGUCCAUCACCCGCACAGCAUCUCUCCAGUGGUUGCUGCUUGUGUCUAUUUCAUGUUUCUUUUUUAGAUUGUGGGCCCUUUGGGGACAUGGAGCCAUUUUAUUUAUGUAUCUAUGUAAACCACUUUAAGAACUUUUGUUGAAAAAUAGUACAUAAAUAUUCGGCGCAUUCAUCGCA